GCUCAGUUGCUUCCAAAGUAAACAUGUAAAAGUGCCUAUAAGGAUGGAAAUAGCAUAGAACUACAACAUAAUCACCCACUCCCAAACAACCUCUAAAAGAGGAGCCACUUUCUAACCGUAAACUGUCACCUACAAAGGUCAAUAUGCAGACAAAGGGGGAAAAACUUCCCAAAAUCCCAUGUCCACGAUCCAUUCAACAAAAAGCUAAACUGGAGGUACCUUCACAGUCCCCCUGUCCCUCAAUCCAAAAAAAGGGGGACCUUCAGCUAUUUUUAAAUAUAUAAAAACUUGAUUUCCCACUAUUCAAUCUUGUUA
rnacentral:misc_RNA from 1 species